AUUGAACGCUGGCGGCAGGCUUAACACAUGCAAGUCGAGCGAGCGGCGGACGGGUGAGUAAUGUCUGGGAAACUGCCUGACGGAGGGGGAUAACUACUGGAAACGGUAGCUAAUACCGCAUACCAUCAGAUGUGCCCAGAUGGGAUUAGCUAGGAGGUGGGGUAAUGGCUCACCAAGGCGACGAUGCAUAGCUGGGCUGGGAGGAUGACCGGCCACACUGGAACUGAGACACGGUCCAGACUCCUACGGGAGGCAGCAGUGGGGAAUCUUGCGCAAUGGGCGAAAGCCUGAGGGAGCCAUGCCGCGUGUGUGAAGAAGGCCUUCGGGUUGUAAAGCACUUUCAGCGAGGAGGCGUUACUCGCAGAAGAAGCACCGGCUAACUCCGUGCCAGCCGCCGCGGUAAUAC
rnacentral:rRNA from 1 species